UCCCAACUUUCAUACCCAGUAGGCCCCUCUCAUUCAGGGCAGUAUUGGCUGAGUGGGAACUGACCUAGCAACCUGAGCGCCAGGGUAGACCCACAUUGUCUGGAACAAAGUCACUGGACGGUUAAGAUGCUGCCUCCCCGCCUCAUCUGGCAGAAUCUACAGCACAGCAAGAAGCUGAAGGAGAAAUAGCAAAUCCGGCUGUUGUUUGAAAGGAUGGACGGCUGUCUGCACCAUGCCGUUGUACUCCCCGGCACAGACACAAGUUGGAGCCCUCUUUAAACACUAUCAUCUCCCACAAUCAGAAGAUGCCUCACAGAUGCUCUCUGCACUGGUUGACUCUGAAGCCUAGAAGCAGCCAGACCCUUUCCAAAAGUCCAGACACACUUGUCACAGGACUGGGGCUAGAAUACAGUCUUGUCAAUACUCCACGUCUUCUCUUACUCUACAGUCUACUUCCCUGACCACAUAUCGCACUCCUUCCCUAUGUACUUCCAAGAGAAUCUAGUGACAUAUUGUCCUGCAUGAACCAGUCCAAAACACCAGUAUAGUCAUUAAAAUCUUCACAACUUUCUUCUCACCCCUUGGCCUGGCUGCUUGUUUCUAAGUCUUGCUGGACUCCCAAACAAGUCCCACUUUAAGCAUUGACUCUUGAGUCCUAAAGUCACCUGACAACCAGAGCUCAUCGAUCCAAGACUGUAGAAUCAACGAUGAUUUGUUUUCCCACUUUGUUCACGAGAAUGGAUACAACAUCCUCUGUGCUAAAUAUUUCUGUUUCACCAGCACUGGACAGAACACAACCUUCUUGUGUUGCCCUCCAUGGAAAUGGAGAAAUAGGUAGAGCCACGUGCUUACCUCACAAUCCAGAAGCAUCACUGUCCAAAGGAGAACAGGAACCUGGUGGGAAGGAAGUGGGGUCAUGAGAGGAGCCCACUGUUGCUGCGAGUCUGCAGCUCACCUCUCAUUCACACAAAAGCAGACAAGCCAAGUAACUGCUUUUCUGGGGUUCAUUUCAAACCAGUUGAUUUCUUAAGAUAGUAAACAGAGAAAGCUAGUUGUGGGUCGUUGUCUAUCUGUUGGUAAAGGCAAGCACAAGAUAAGGCAAGGCCUGUGAUUGGACAGUGAAAAAGUAAGGUGGGCACAGAGUUUUGGAGAGAGGAGAGACAGGAGACAGGAGAAGAACCAAGAUGGAGGCCGAGAAGGACGACCCAGAUCCGUGUGGCCUUAAAUGGCCACAGGUAGCUAUGAAAAUCCUAUAAGGGAUGAAUUAUUACAGGACAAUUUGGCUUAUCUGGGUUGUCAGUUUAUAUCAAUAUUAAUUGGCUCUGAGUUUAUCGUGUGGACGUUUUGUGGAGUGAGAAUUUACUAAUAUAAAUCUGAUUAAUAAAUUACAACAUUAUUGAGUUUUAAUUUUAACAGGCUACUGGGAGUUAUGGCUAUAACUAUAGGGGGCGGAUGCAGGGAAUGUGAGCAGAGUUCUUAGCAGAGUCACAAGAGGGUAGCCACUACUGGACUCAGAGAGUGGCCAGCAACAGCAUGGGAUAGAAAUUGAAAACUUAGCAAGUCAGGUUGAGAAGUGUUGCUGAUCGAGAUUAAAGUACCCCGCAGAUGCCAUGUGGCCCGUCAGAGCUGGCAAUAGUGUGGGUUGGUGUAUCUUCAUUUUUUACUAUUUACCACUACAGCUAGUCUGAGAAUAAAAGGCAAGAGAAGGUUGGAGGAGAGACAGAGAAAGACACAGAGAUAGAGACAGACAGUCGGGAUUGGAGGGGAGGUAGAUUCCAAAAUAACUCACACUAGGUGCCAACUCACUGGCUUGAACCAAAUGCUAGUAAUCAAUGGGAAAGCCUUUAAUGAGUGUGAGCCCACACAGUUAAUCAGAAAUUUAGAACUUAAGGUCUGUAUUACAGCCUUCACCCACCACACAUUUCAUGCUUCGUUUUCAAUUACCCCUUAGUCAAUUAACUAUGAAGCUUAAAUGAGACGAGUGGAACUUGGGAGAUUAAAGCUAAUACAGUCAGCUAGUAAAGCCAUUUAAUAGGAUGAUAAUAGAAAAUAGACGACCUUAACCCUUGCUAAGCCAGGCUGCACCAAGCCUGUGUGGUUAAAGGAUGCAACCAUGACAGACACCAGGGACACAGAUACUUUUAGAAAACCACGGCACCCCGUCUUAUCCUUUUCUCUUCUUGAUGCACCUGCAGCUUUCCCAGAGCCUUCCAGAAGUCUCUCUGAUGGGAGGCCUAAGUGGUUGUUCAAUCAUUGCUUUACUUUGGUGGAACAACUUUCAAGAUCAUCUUUUCUUCUCUCAAACCUUUUCAUAUCUGUUUGGCUCUUCUUUUCCUGAAUUAUCACACAGAUAACCCUUGAUACGAGAACUAGUUUUCUCAAGUUUGUCAUUUUUGAGUGAUCUUUCAACAAAAUGAGUGUCUUGGAAUGGUGUAGAGUAUCCAGGUCAAAGACGUGGAUUCUCUUUCUAUAGAAAGAAUCUCUUGGUUGGGGAUUUAGCUCAGUGGUAGAGGGCUUGCCUAGCAAGUGCAAGGCCCUGGGUUCGGUCCUCAGUUCCAAAGGGGGUGGGGGAGAAUCUCUUAUGUUCUGUAUAGAAUCAUCACCUAUCAAUAAAAAGGCCUAUGAUCAAUGAGAUGAAGCAGGAUUAGGGGGUGGAAUAUCAAACAGAAAGAAGGAAUUCUGGGACAGAGUUGUCCUGAACUAGGAAGAAGCUGGUCCCAUGAAACUGAGAAGAGGUAGCCAACCACAGGACAGGGCUUAGAUAAAACAAACAGGAUACUUAAGUUACAAGCUAGGAGGAAUGAGCCAAAGCUUUUGUCUAGGCAAUUAUUCAUAAUAGGUCAGUCUCACAGCAGUUAUUUUGUGAUCUUGGGAAAAGCACUCAGUUAGCAAGCUGAAUGAUUUUGGGAAAGUCACUUAGCUUAAGUUGAAUUGUACAGUCACUCAUGCCAGACAUGGCUGGUGUACAUCUGGUAACAGCACAGAAGGCUUGGUAGCUAUCCUGUGGGGAGGGAAACAGCUCGAUAAAAAGCAGGAUUGUGUGGAGACCAAAGUCUUCAAAACUCAGUGUCUGAUAAGUACCCAAAGUCAAGGACAAAGCACAACAUGAACUCAAAGAGAAAUGCCUUAGAUGACAGCAUAUUCCCCAAAGACAUAAUGAAGGCAACACCACUUGAGCUGAUCUUAGAAGGAUCCGUGGAUUAUUCAGGCAGCAAGUGAGUGGAAGACCAAAGGGAAGCCUCCAGCAAGAUGGUAUAAUAUAAAACACCUUCAAGAAGUGCAGGCUCAUCUAACAGACUAGUAGCAAAGCAUGGAGGCCCUUCUCAGUCAGGCUGAGAAGCUCACAACCUUCUCCCAGCAGGCCUCAGACUUACAGAAGAACACAAAAAUCAGGGCAUGGUGGAGCUUGCUUCUAAUCCCAGCUUUCAGAAGGCUGAGGCAGGAGGACUGUAAAUUCAAGGCUAGCUUGACACUGUCUCAAAUAAACAAACCAAAGCAAAACAAAACAAGACCAAGAAGACAACAGGAGACCCAUCCGACAACUAACACAUGAGCUAGCAUUGUGACUGUAAGGAGAAAAAUAAAACUGACUGAAGCAAGAACACAACAUGUUUACGAAACAUAAACAAAAGACGUUGCCUACUUGGGAUUAAAGAAGAUAUUAAAGAUGCCUGACACCACCAGAAAGGUAUCAAGGAGGGUGAUGAUAAAGACCUUGAGAGUUCAAGGCAAAGGCAUGAGAAUUGGGAGUUCAAACUCACUAUUUUGCAAGUCUCAAAACAGAAAAAAAGGCGGGGAGUUGGGGGAGGGACCUCAGGCCUAACUCAUUGGAAGAGAGCUUGUUUAAUAGGCCCAGAGUCCUAGUUUCAAUCCCUAGUACUGCAAAAUCUACAAAUAAAUCUAAAAUAAAAGCCAAAAUUAUACAAUUUCUAGAGGCAAGCAUAGAAAAUCUUUUUAAAAGAAAACUUUAAAAGCCCAGCAUGGUGGUACCCAACCUGUAACCUGACACUUGAGAGGAUGUCUGGACAGGCAGUAACCAAAGGCCCAGUUGGAUGUCAGCAAGGAUUUAAAUGUAGGAUCAGGGUAAGGGAAACCAUGGCCUCAUCUGGUAAAUUGAGGGUUUCUAUAAUAACAGCAAGUUCUGGCCCUGAGUGUACAGUAGAUUCCCCUGGAAACUGUCUGAAAACACACAGUUGGACCAAUUAGGCAGCACCAAAACAAAGACAGAGAGAGGGCUCUCUGGGGUGAGGUUCCAGUGCUGGAGUGCACAUCGGGAGGUUUCUGCCACUGCAAAAAUUCCUCUUUGGAUAAGAGAGUAGGUGGUGACUGAUUCCCUGUUGGCUCAAGUUGACAAAAAUAUAAAUAAAUUUGCCAUUGAUCAGUAAAUAGUCCCUGCAGAACAAUCUGUUCCAAACCUAUAUCCUAGGACCCAGGGUGUGGAGGCAGUAGGAUCAAGAGAUCUAGGCCAACCUGGGCUUUAUGAAACCUUACCUCAAAAAAAUCAGAUAAUGUCCUUAAUACAGAGAAAUACUUUACUAAGAAUUCCAAUGAAGAAGCAUGUUGUCUUGCUUAGAAAGCCAUGGAAUAGAAAGGGUUAAGAGGGAAAAAGAGAGGCCCAGGUCUAGAAUCCCCGGGUUGUUCUAACUCAGGGCAAGCUGAGCCUUCUGCUGCAGGACCACAGGUCUAUUGACAUUCUUUAUCCUUCCAGCUCAUAGUUACCCUCCAUCUGUUUUACCAGUGGAUUCCACAGCCAUCGUGUAAAUUACACAGUACAGACAUUACAAAUACUCUUUUUCUAGAUGAAGAAACACAGGCAAGAGACAGCUGGCAAGAUCCAGAUUGGAAAGGAAUUGCCAGGAAUCUUCUGUUGCCUCUGCAAAACAGAGCAUGGAAGGACUCUGGGCUCUGGGUGAGGAAGCAGAGGUUAUAUCUUAGUGAAACUUCUUGAUCAACCUACAAGCCAUUUCUCCCAUUGGAUUUAUAGUUAGAACUCAAAAGACAGCAAGGCUGACUGAUUUUAACUUCUCCAUGUGUUUUCUUCAUGCUGUGGCAGAGCACCUGGGAAAAACAAACUCUAAAAAACUCAGUCGAGAAGUAAGCAAUGUAAGUCACUCAGUGUUGGAUAAUUGUGACUAUUCAUCAGAUACUUGGCUGUGUGUGAGACUGCAAAAGGCUGUCUAUAGUGAUAUGGAUGUGUUACUCAGUCAAACACUAGUCAUGUGUCUGAACAAAAAUUGGUUCUACUCUGAAGACUUCAUGUGACACUCUCAGGCUGAGGAAAAAAUUCCUAGGCUAUUAAAAAAGUUCUGAAUAGUGUAUCAUUUACACCAGUUGCCACACUAAAUAUAAACGAGCAAUACUCUCCCAUUCAAUGCCAUUCACAGAGCAAUAGGUUUUAAGAGUAGAAAUCCACUCAAUCAGGAAGGCAUAUAGAAUAUCCAGAGAUUCUCACACUCUGGAUUGGAGAUAUGGCUCAGUGGGUAAAGUGAUUGUUGCACAAGAACCUGAGUUCUAGUCCUCAGCACCCACAUAAGAGCUGGGAGAAGCAAUGCAUGGAGACAAGCAGAUAUCAGGAACGUGCAACCAAUAAAUCUAGCCAGUUGAUGAGCUCCAGCUUUAGUAUCAAGACUGUCUCACAAAGGUAAAGUAGAAAUCCACAGAGGAAGACAUCUGCCCUGGACUCUAGCCUUCACAUGCCCACACAAGUGUGUUUGAGUGUAUGCACUUACUACACACAACACACAUGUGUGCACAUUGAAAACAAACAAAGCUUGUUUUCUUUCCCACAUCAUUCUCCUCUGUGUCUCCUCAAAUCUGUAGAUUCCCAUUCACUAAAGAGUCCACCGGACCUCUCUGGUCUGAUGUGUUCCCUUGAGUUACUAUUGCAAAUUUUCAAAAGAGAAAGUCUUUUGGGGGGCUGGGGAUUUAGCUCAGUGGUAGAGCGCUUACCUAGGAAGCGCAAGGCCCUGGGUUCGGUCCCCAGCUCCGAAAAAAAGAACCAAAAAAAAAAAAAAAAAGAGAAAGUCUUUUGGUUGGUUAUUGACAACCAAGGGAUUGGAUGGAUUAUGAUCACCAUGGGUCUAAUCAGAGUAGAGAGCUGGGACCGUAGUACAAAGGUCACCUUCCCAGGAACCUUCCUCUUUCAAGAUCAGCGGUGUGUGUGUGUGUGUGUGUGUGUGUGUGUGUGUGUGUGUGUGUGUGAGCGCGUGUGUGUGUGUGUGUAGGGGCAGGGGGUUGCAUCACAUGUGUGAAAAGGGUAUGCAUGGUGUGAGUGAGUGUGUGUGUGUGUGUAUGUGUGUGUGAGAGAGAGACAGAGACAGACAGAGACAGACAGAGACAGAGACAGAGAGACAGAGAAACAGAGAGUUUGCUUUUAGAAAAUCAGGCUAUGUGCAGGACAAACAUCCCCUAAACUACCUACAUGAUCACUGUAUAUAAUUAGAAGAAGUUGUUCUAAAGAAGUUAGACAAAGCCAUCUGAAACAAAGACAGGGUUUGUGCAUUCUUGAAUCUCCACAAAAAUCAGCAUACUAUAUGUCCCAAACAUGUGACAUGGGUCUGCCACAAAUCCCAAAACAAAUCUGCAGCUGAGCUACAUUUUAAAGCUGUUAAUGUAUGCCAGCUGAUUUGUAAUGUAAGACUUGGUUGCAGUAAGGUAGCUUUGACCUUUGAAGAUUUUUUUUUCUUUGAAAUAAAUCUGUUUACACUCACUGUGCUAAUUGAUGGAAAGGACACCUAAUUUGCAGAUUUGCUUUCCUAUUGGAGAGCAGUUCUCUUUUCCUAAAACCGAGCUAGAAAUGAGGUCUACAGCAAAGAAAGCCUAUAGUGUCUGAGUAUCUGUUCCUUGCCAAGUAACUUGGCACUAGCUCUGGGAUAAUGGCCUAUUGUCCUCACAACCACUUUCCAGAGGAAGAUGCUGUGAUCUGCACUGAGGAGUUCAGGACAGGAAGCGCGCUCCUCUCUCAGGGCCUCCCUGGUCCUAACUGUAAAAUGAGAUGAUGUUUACCAGAGAGGAUCUUCAGGAGAGACGUAAGGACAGCAUGAGUGAGGGCAUCAAGGAGGAGUAAUGGAGGGGCCUCCAAAAGCAAAGUUCCCAAUUUCUGAAUAUGUGUGAAAACACACAUGUUCGAGUCCAGGAGAAGAACAAUGAGAUAACAGUUGGAAUCCUGGGAUCUGCUCCUCCACCACUCUAUAGCUGUGUGUGAGCAGGUAGACUCCUAUAUGCUUGCAUCUCCUCACUGUACAGUAGAGAAGCUGCCUACAUCACACAGUUCCUUAAGAACUCAAGAUGGCCCCGCCAUGGAGACUGCAUGUAGAACUUCAAUAGGAUCGAUUCUUUACAAGCUCAAGUUAGGAGAAGAUAUAAUUUGAAUUCUAAGAGGACCUUAGAAAAUGAGUGUAAUUUAUUAAUUCUUUAAUUUCUGUAGAGAACGCUGACUAUUACAGAGGGCAAAGAGGGGUAUGUCCUAUGGCAGAGCACCAGCCUAGCAUGCACGAAUCCAUGCUUAACCAUUAGCAUUACAGAAAUAAAUGACUAAAUAGCUUGGCAAUGACACCAAGAUUCAAACAGAUGACGGUGUGUUUUUCUGGAAAAAUCUCUCUGACAUAACAGCAAGCUUAUGCUGCUCAUCUUUUCAAGAUUCUCAAACUGUUCAAGAUUGAAAGUCACAUGCGUCUGCCAAAGUGGGCAGGGAACCCUACACAAGGAGCUACAGGCAACUAAGGAACACUCAGAGUAGGAGAAAUAGUCUACUCCAGGGAGGAGCACACCAAUUGGUUGUGUAAUACCAAUAGUCAGCCCUGAGGAUACGCCAUUGUUCAGAAUGAGUAGUUUGUAAAAACUGAUAUGGGAAAAAUCAGAAGCAAUACAGUCAAGAUCAAGAAGUCAGUACACCCAAGAUAGAGUGACUGAUAGGCCAGAAAGAUCCUACAGAGUGUGUGUGUGUGUGUGUGUGUGUGUGUGUGUGUGUGUGUGUGUGUGUGCACGCGCGCGCGCACGCGCGUGUGUGUGCACGUAGCAACAAUUAAAAGAAAGAGAUCCAUGAAUUUGAAAGAGAUCAAGGAGGGUGUGUGGGAGGUUUGGAGAGAGGGAGGGAAGCGAAGAAUGAAGCAAUUAUAAUAUUAAAAAAAUGGGGGCAAAAGGGAGUCACAUGGUUCAAUAAUGUUUCCUUGAAAUUUUGAUGUUUGCAAAUACCACUGGACUGUACAAGCCAGGAAAUGCCCCUGCCCUUGAAGGAUGUCUUCAAUAAGCUAACGUUCCUACCAUCAGUCUCAAUGGAUGGCUCUGGCCUCUGGGUCAUUUUUUUUUUCUUUCCUAUAAAAUGGGCGUGACAAAUAGUAAUUACGGAUAAUUCCAGAACUGAGGGAGAGAUUAUCAUCAGUGUUUGAAGUACUUCCCGAGAGCAAGUGCUAAACAAAUCUUCCUUAUCUUUGUGAUCAGCUACCAUUGUCGUUGUUAUUGUAAACUCUUCUGGAUGCCUGAUACCUGGGCAUGCCACUCUCUUGAAAUACUGCGUGCUUCUUAUAUAAACAAGCCAUGUUUUCCUUACUCCUGUGAAAAACAUUUCUUUGAUUUCUUACCAAUGUAUUCAUAAACACUUUAAAGAAAUUAUAUCAUUUUUACCAAAGUAUUUGCUCAAUUUAAAAGAAAAACAAAGGAUAUGAAAUACUCUCCCUCAUGAACUGGCUCAAUACGUUUUUAUUACUCGUGAUUGCACCAAAAUAGAAAGAGGUUUUAUUGGGACUGAAAGAAUGAUAUGAGAAAAAUCAGAAGCAAUACAUUCAAGAUCAAGAAGUCAAUACACCCAGGAUAAAGUAACUAAAGGAGGUCAAUGACUGGCAGGCCAGAAGUAUCCUACAGAAUCAUCCAUCCCAAAUCCUUCCUGCUUCAGAUAGUCUGUGGAACAGGAGGGCCAGCAUAACCUGGGAACAUGUUAGAAAUGUAGAAGACAUUCAACCUUGACCUCUGGUUGGAGUCUUGCACACACAUGCCUAAUUCCCUCACCCCACACGCACAAAAUAAAUUUUAAAAUGCAAAAUCUCAAGGUCGGAGACCCAUGGAAUAACUCUAUGAUUCUAAUGUGUAUCGAAGUUUUCAAAGCUCCAAUUUAGACAACCUUUUAAAAAGUAUCAAUACUUCAACUCUGACAUACUUUGUUCACCCAUUGUCCCACAUAUCCAGUAAGCUGAAGAAGGACCCCUUUGUGUACACACCUAAUGUUAUUGUUUACUGUGUAAACAUAUAUUUAAAUGCUAAUUUCCGUGCCUCCAUAUUUCGCUACAAUCCUUAUUCUAAGAAUCUCCUGUCUCAAUGUUGUGUAAAUAUUGCUCCCUAAUUAUGUCCUGAUUGGGCAAUCAAGCUAACUGAUCAGCCAAUGACAGAGCAAGGGAGAAAAUAGGACUGGACUUCCUCCCAGCUGGGGAGUCAGGUAGGGAGGGAGGAAGAAGGGAUUAGCCAUAUGGAAAGCAUCCAGGAGAGCACAAGAAGACACCUGGAGCCCAGAGAGCCAGAUCAGUACUAAGAUACAAGUAUCACUGAGAUUUUGGCUGGGAGGUAGCCAGAUUAACUGAGAGGAUUAAAAUAGCGCAAUACUGCUCAAUGUUCAUGCCCUUAAAGCUUGCUAAAUAAAUAUUAUAGUCCAGUCUCAAUUAUUUGGAACCCAGCCAGGAUAAAAGAGAAACUGCAGAACAUACAUAUAAAAAUGACAUUAAUAUUUGGCACCCAACAUGGGGCAUAGAAUUUAAACUUAGACAAACAUACAUAUAAAAAGCCACUAAUACUCUAGCUCAGGAAUUUGGAGCCAGCCUACCGAACAUAAUGAGAUACUAUGUUUAAAAACAAAGCUGACGUCCAGGGACCAGGGAGAUGACUCAUUGAGUGAAGUAUUUGCCACAUAAGGUUGAGAACUAAGGUCAAAUUCCAAGAGCUGGUGUACAUAUGACAAGAUGGGAAGCCAAAACAGGAGGCUCCCUAGAAACUCAAAGGCUGGAUAGUAUGACCUACACAGCUGCAGAAACCCUGUCUCAAACUAAGUAGAAGAUAAUGUCCAACACUCAAAUUUCUGGGCGCGCUCUCUCUCUCUCUCUGUCUCUCUCUCUCUCUCUCUCUGUCUCUCUCUCUGUCUCUCUCUCUCUCUCUCUCUCUCUCUCUCUCUCACACACACACACACACACACAAACACACACAUACACACACACACACACACACACAUAUAUUUUUUUUCUAAAAAUCAAAAGUACACAGAAAUCAUUGCCUUUACAAAUAAAACCAGAUUCUCUGUUUUCCCCCUGGGGAGAUGUGGCCAAAUGUUUAUCCUUGUCAGAUAGCAUAAUGACUGACCAAUUACAUCUAUGCCUAGCUUGGUGACCAGUGAGAUUACAGCGGCAACUUCACAGAAGCACAAGUGAGAGGUUACUUGGAGCAUCUCUUUGUGUAACUCACAGGUGGCUGCCUCACCUCAAAGGCUAUCUUGUCAGCCUGAAUGACAACUACUUAUGUUAUAUCCUUAGAGUUCUCUGUGAAACUUACGGGCAUCUCAGUGGGCCACAGAAUUGCUUCUCCCCAGCAACUGUUAAUGUUUGAAUAACCUUGAAGAAUAGCUUUGGGAACUGUAAGUUUCAGGAGCUUCCUGAGUCUCAUGAGCCUCCCUCCUCACUCCAGGAGGAAGUGUUUCAGUUGGGAGGAAAGAACCACAGUGUGGGAGUAUAGGUACUGGUAUCUUUUAAAGCUUUCUUUAUUGCUUCUAAUACACAACAGGAGUUGAGAACCCCGAAAAAGAGAAAAGGAUAGAGGGAUAUGACAGGCAUCAAAAUGAUGAAGAAGGGGGAACUUUCUAGACAGAGCAGCAGAAUGGAAAGACGAGAUGCAAAGGGUUGAAAUGUACCAUAAAUGGUGACAGAAAUGAGGCUGUGUGCUUUGAUAAGGACCUUAACACGGAUGCCGCAGAUGGGGUUUCAGGAGGGUUUGAAUAAGCACCAUUCUGUAUACAACUCUGUCCUCUAGCACAUCCUGGUGAUUGCUCUCCACGGUUGUGAUGGUCUGUCCCCUUCUGCUUCCUUAUUGGUACAAUAUCUGAUAUUAGUUUGUGGAUUUGGUGCAACGGAUUUUUUAAACAGCAAGCAGGGUUUGGUGAUAUACAGUGAUCAAAAAAUUAAAAAACAAAAAAAAAUGAGAAUUAGACUAUAGUUAAAAUAAAGUCUGAGGUUCUGUCACAUGGUAUGGUAACUACGGGAAAGAAUGAUGGUUGUACAUUUCAAAGUAGAGAAAGGGGGGCUGGGGAUUUAGCUCAGUGGUAGAGCGCUUACCUAGGAAGCGCAAGGCCCUGGGUUCGGUCCCCAGCUCCGAAAAAAAGAACCAAAAAAAAAAAAAAGUAGAGAAAGGGAUUUUUAAUGAUUUCACAGAAAAAGAAUGAGCCAUGAUAGAGAGUCACACUGACAGCAGCUGCAGACACAGGGACGGGCACAGGGAGAGAAACAAAGCAGGAUGGGCAGCAGGUAUCCCUGUGUUAAUUCUAACUCAGUAACCCGGGCACACUGGCUUCUGUCAUCCUUCAUGCCAGGCACGUUCCUUAGUUGCCUGAUGAUCUCAGUGCCCUGUUCAGCAGCUCUUUCCCUGUUCAAAUGAGUUCAAGGCUCUUCCCCACUUUCUCUUCUAUCAGGUUCAGUGUAUCUGGUUUGAUGAUGAGAUCUUUGCAACAUGUAGACUUGAGGUAUACGCAAGGUGUAACUAUGUAUCUAUUCGGAUUCUUCUUCAUAUAGUCUGGUAUUUGUUGAAGAUGGUGUCUUUUUUUUCCCCAGCUUGUAUUCCUGGCCUCUUUGUCAAAAACCAAGUGUGUGGAUUUAAGUCUGGGUCUUCCAUUCGAUUCCAUUGAUCAACAUGUCUGUUUUCCUACCAAUACUAGGCUGAUUUUAUUCCUAUAGCUCUGUAAUACGAUUUCAAACUGGAAAUGGUGAGAUCUCCAGCAGUUCUUUUCUUAUUCUGGAUUGUUUUUUGCUAUCCUGUACUUGUCAUUUUUCAAUAUGAAGCCGAAAAUUAUCCUUUCAAAAUCUGUUAAAAAAUAUGUUGUAAUUUUGAUGAGAAUUAUAUUGAAUCUGUAGAUGUUCAGGGUAGGGUGACCAUUUUUCCUAUGUAAAUCCUACUGAUCCAUGAGCAUGGGAGAUCUUUCCAUCUACUGAUAUCUUCUUCAAUUUCUUUCUUCAGUGACUUGAAAUUUUUAUUAUACAAGACUUUCACUUGCUUGGUUAACAUUAACCUGGGAUAUUUUAUAUUAUUUGAGGUUGUUGUGAAACAUGAUAUUUCCCUGAUUCUUUUUUUUUAGUCCAUUUGUAAUUUCAUAUCAGAGGCUACUAAUUUUUGUGAAUUAAUUUUGAAUCCAGUUACUUCGCUGAAAGUGUCUAUCAGCUGUAGGAGUUUCCUAAUGAAAUUUUUAAUGUUAUUAAUGUAUUUAAUCAUAUAAUCUGCAAAUAACGAUAAUUUGAUUUCUUCCUUUCCAAUUUGUAUCCCCUUGAUCUCCUUCAGCUGUCUUAUUACUCUAGCUCAGACUUCAAGUACAACAUUGAAUAGGUGUAGAGAGACUGGACAACUUUACCUUGUUCCUAAUUUAGUGAAACUGACUUGAGUUUCCAUUUAAAUUGAUGUGGAUGUUGGCUAUGGGCUGGCUGUAAAUUUCCUUUAUUAUAUCAAGGUAUGUCCCUUUUAUCCCUAAUCUCUCUAGGAUUUUUUUUAUCAUGUACAGGUUUUUGGAUUUUGUCAGAGGCUUUUCCUGAAUCUAAUGAGAUGAGCGUGUGUUUUUUUUAUUUUUCAGUUUGUCUAUAUGGUGGAUUGAUUGCAUUAAUUUAUUGAUAUAUGUUGAACCAUCCCUGUAUCUCUGGGAUUAAACCUAUUUCAUUAUGGUGGACGGUCUUUUUUAUGUGUUCUUGGAUUCUGCUUGCAAGUAUUUUAUUAAGUAUUUUCCCAUCUAUGUUCAUAGAGGAAAUUGGUCUAUAAUUCUGUUUCUUUGUUGGGUCUUUACGUAGUUUGGAUUUCAGGGUAACUGUGGCCUCAUAAAAUGAAUUGGGCAAUGUUCUUUCUGUUUCUAUUUUGCUAAAUAAUCUGAGGAAUAUGGGCACUAGCUCUUUUUUGAAAGUCUGGUAGAAUUCUGUGCUAAUACCAUGUGGUCCUGGGCCUUUUUUCAUUGGAGACUUUUAAUGACUGCUUCUAUUUCACUGAGGGUAUAAGUCUGUUUAACCUGCUUAUCUGGUCUUGAUUUAGCUUUGUUAAUCAUUAUAUAUGGAGAAAAUUGUCCAUUUCCUUUAGAUUUCCCAAUUUGAUGGAGUACAGGUUUUUUAAGUAUAUCCUUAUGAUUAUCUGAAUUACCCCCAAUGUUCUAAUUAUAUACAAAUUUUAAUGUCAAAAGAAAAAUAACCGUAAACAAAUACUGAACUCCAAUAUUAUGCUUCACUAAAGUGGUUAAAGGUGAUCGAUAUUAGUGCCUGCAUUUAAGUUGAAGUCUACUUUGUAAAAGAAGGUGAGUUAAUAGGUAAAAACAGAAGAGCAGAUACAUCAAUUUGCAAUAGGUUAAAUACUAAAAUAUCAUGUUGGAAUCUGGAUUGUGGGCAUGUGCAUGUUCACGGAAAAAAAGAAUCCUUUAAACUUCUAUGUAAUUGGAAAAAUGUUCAGUAAAUCUCAUAUGAGCAAAUAAAGAGGCAAAAUACUAAAGUAAUAAAAUCUUAUGGCCCAAAGCUUUAGGGAAGGUUCUGGAAAUCACAGGAAACUGAACUUUGUCUAAAUGACUCCACAGGGGAAGAAAGCUCCACAGGAACAAGGAAAUGAGAGGAAGAAAGCCCAAAGGAAACAGGAACCUGGGUCAGAGAAGAUGGUUCCUGAGAUUGGAGAUGGGAGCAAUAAAGGGGGAGAAACCACAGGAAGCUGCUGGGGUUCCUAACAACAUUCCAUCUAGACCAGAAGGGCAUAGCCUAGAAAUACAUAGGAAUAGCAACGUGCACACAUCGCAGUCACAGUUGUGGUGUUCCUAAGAGACGAGAGACUAGAUGUGUUUUUCUACUCAAAAUAAAGUGUAAUGCCCAGAGAGUCUA